rnacentral:rRNA from 1 species
UACGAAGGGGGCUAGCGUUGCUCGGAAUCACUGGGCGUAAAGGGUGCGUAGGCGGGUUUUUAAGUCAGAGGUGAAAUCCUGGAGCUCAACUCCAGAACUGCCUUUGAUACUGAAAGUCUUGAGUAUGACAGAGGUGAGUGGAACUGCGAGUGUAGAGGUGAAAUUCGUAGAUAUUCGCAAGAACACCAGUGGCGAAGGCGGCU